rnacentral:rRNA from 1 species
AGUGAACGCUGGCGGUAGGCCUAACACAUGCAAGUCGAACGGCAGCACAGUAAGAGCUUGCUCUUACGGGUGGCGAGUGGCGGACGGGUGAGGAAUACAUCGGAAUCUACUUUUUCGUGGGGGAUAACGUAGGGAAACUUACGCUAAUACCGCAUACGACCUACGGGUGAAAGCAUGGGAUCUUCGGACCUUGCGCGAUUGAAUGAGCCGAUGUCGGAUUAGCUAGUUGGUGGGGUAAAGGCCCACCAAGGCGACGAUCCGUAGCUGGUCUGAGAGGAUGAUCAGCCACACUGGAACUGAGACACGGUGCAGACUCCUACGGGGGGCAGCAGUGGGGAAUAUUGGACAAUGGGGGCAAGCCUGAUCCAGCCAUACCGCGUGGGUGAAGAAGGCCUUCGGGUUGUAGAGCCCUUUUGUUGGGAAAGAAAAGCAGCAGGUUAAUACCCCGCUGUUCUGACGGUACCCAAAGAAUAAGCACCGGCUAACUUCGUG